GACGGGGUUACCCAAAGUGCUCAAUUUUGAACUGUGGUAGGUGAGUAAUGUUCCCUACUAGAAAGGAGAGGGCAAGGCUGGUGCCAGCCGCCGCGGUAAAACCAGCUCUUCAAGUGGUCGGGAUAAUUAUUGGGCUUAAAGUGUCCGUAGCCGGUUUAGUAAGUUCCUGGUAAAAUCGGGUAGCUUAACUAUCUAUAUGCUAGGAAUACUACUAUACUAGAGGGCGGGAGAGGUCUGAGGUACUACAGGGGUAGGGGUGAAAUCUUAUAAUCCUUGUUGGACCACCAGUGGCGAAGGCGUCAGACUGGAACGCGCCUGACGGUGAGAGACGAAAGCCAGGGGAGCGAACCGGAUUAGAUACCCGGGUAGUCCUGGCCGUAAACGAUGCAUACUAGGUGAUGGCACGGCCAUGAGCCGUGUCAGUGCCGUAGGGAAACCGUUAAGUGUGCCGCCUGGAAGUACGGUCGCAAGGCUAAA
rnacentral:rRNA from 1 species